GACGAACGCUGGCGGCGUGCUUAACGCAUGCAAGUCGAACGGAAAGGCACUGCUUUUGUGGGGUGCUCGAGUGGCGAACGGGUGAGUAACACGUGAGUAACCUGCCCUUGACUUUGGGAUAACUUCAGGAAACUGGGGCUAAUCCCGGAUAGGAGCUCCUGCUGCAUGGUGGGGGUUGGAAAGUUUCGGCGGUUGGGGAUGGACUCGCGGCUUAUCAGCUUGUUGGUGGGGUAGUGGCUUACCAAGGCUUUGACGGGUAGCCGGCAUGGGAGGGUGACCGGCCUCAUGGGGACUGAGAGACGGCCCAGACUCCUACGGGGGGCAGCAGUGGGGAAUAUGGUACAAUGGGCGGAAGCCUGAUGCAGCAACGCCGCGUGCGGGAUGACGGCCUUCGGGUUGUAAACCGCUUUCGCCUGUGACGAAGCGUGAGUGACGGUAAUGGGUAAAGAAGCACCGGCUAACUACGUG
rnacentral:rRNA from 1 species